UCCUCCCUCUGCAAUAUGGUGACAUGCUCUUCCCCCCCUUAAUAGAACUCCACCCUGUCUUUGUCCAUGUACGCCCACCCGGUGCUACUUCACCCGGCACCUCGGUGAGCCUCUUGGCAAAAAAAACUGAUUCGUGGGGGGGCGGCUAAUGGGGGUCGGUGAAAGCGUCCUACGGGGCAUUCAAAACCAAGCAUGAAAUAUAUCCGUAGACCUCGGUGGUUGCAAAACGCGCCCCGUGAACUGUUCCCCGCCCCCAGCAAAUCCCUUCCGCGUGCUUGGUGGGAAUUUGCUUUUUCCUUGUAAAGUUACGGACGGGGUUGGGUGUAUUGGGAUUCGUCUACUACAUUCACUUCCUUUCCGUUCCCUGGCGAACUCCCGGUAUUGCGAUAUAUCGGGAUUUGUUAAACGUUUAACGAACUGGAGGCGGGAGACCCCCGCGCCGCUUCCUUUUCCUAAAAUAGGCCUAGUUGAAUAGCGCGGUGCUGGGUGAAGUCUAAGAAUAUCUGGCGAUGAAUGUGUAACGCCGUCUAAAGUAGACGUGCCCGAGGUCUUUGGCGUGAAUGGGGGAGAAGAGGAAAUAUAAGCGGUGGUAACUGGAGCCAUCCUUUAUCCUGGGCACCCGAGGACUUUUAAAAUGCAUGCUGAUUUUUUUUGGUGGGGGGGGCGCUUCUUAAAAACCCGUCGGCGUUUUGAUUUGCUUGAAUUGGGGGUGGGGUGUGUGUGGUGGGGAGAAGCGACGAGCUACCGAGAGCUGAAAGCCUCCCCCCCCUCCCUUGAAGCGGGGGAGGAGGGCAUCCGAAGCGCGUGUAGCCGAGGAAGGCAGACCGUGUGCUGAUUUAAGGGAGGCCGAGGCGGCGGUGGGUCAUGCGGCUCAACCGGGGCGGGGCACUGGGAAAAGUGCUGCAUUUGGAAGGUUCCAUGGCGUUGUUGCGGCGUUUGUAGGCCCCAGCGCAAACGUGCCUCUGGCGACGGUUUGAGCGCUCCGUCGCCCAAACGCCUCGCCGCCCAAUGGCUAGGCGUGUGUGUGUGUGUCGCCCAUUCGGCGUUUCCUCCCUUUCCCAGCAUUCCACUGCAGUAAAGGCAACGUGGUUUUUCUUUGGGUUGCGAGCAUGUGAUUUUCCUGAACUCGCGCUGGGUUUUUUGGACUCCCCCUUUCCGGCCGUGUCGUAUAGCCCGUCUGUUUUUUAGCUUUGAGCUCUUGGGGGAAAGCUGCUUUAAAAGCCCCUUCGGAUAGCUAUCGCGACUUGUAGCGAUAACGAAGCCUACGCCUAGGACGGAAGGCAGAAAAAUAGGCCUCUCUGCACCUGUUCUUUGGAAUUCUAUAAGCAAAAUCUGAAGAAAUUUUGUUUCAAGAUAUUUUUUAGAUUUGAUUAGGCUUCAAACUUUUAAACUCAUAAAGUGUGCUUCAUAAUGGAAACCUGUUCUGUCAUCAAUGCCACUGCCAGUUUAUGUACCCUUGGAUAGUUACGGCAACACACUUUCCUUAUUCCUUUCCUUCUUGUCUGCUACAGAGUACUCCCACUACAGCUAAUUUAACAAUAGAGAAGAAACAUGGGUGUGCUCAUACAUUCCCAGAUUGGAUUAAGCAAUUGCAGAUUACCAACAUGGAUUAAGUGAAUUGAAUUGAUACAGCUAACCAGAACUGUUUUUUAAAAAGCUUGCUGUGUUAUGCCAUUUACUUGCUAAAGAUGUACAUGGGCAAAUGUGAUGGGAACAUUUAUAUUUGUGUGAUACUCAAUACCAAAGGUAUUUAUUGUUUAAGAGUUUAUUGUUACACUACAAAUGUGUAUGUGUGUUAUGAGAAAGCAUACAAUAUUGAAAUUUUACUUUAUAUGAUAAAUGUUUAUCAAAAUGGAUUGUUGAUAAAAGGAGACACCCAAUCUGAUAUCAGAGCUAAAUCGGAUAACUAUUGUUGAGGUACCAUGUUCUAAUAGAGUACUGGACUGAAAGUAUUGGAAGUGGUGAUAGAGAUCUCUAGGUCCAUUCCGUUACUGCAACAUCUGACAGAUGGCCAUCAAUCCUUCUUUUAAAUACCUGCAGUGAAGGAAAGUUUCCUACCUCCUGAGGCAGUUUGAUUUUGUUGAAAUUAAGAAAUUAAAAUAUGAUACAGUAGAUGUUUAUUCAAUGUCUUUCAGAAGAACUGAAGUCACCUAAGGGGAAAAAUUAUCUUGAGAUCUGUUUGAUCAUCUAUUCCUAAUGCCUUCACUAACUGCAUUAAUACAAGUGUGUAUAAAAACAGCUUAAUUUCUUACUAAAUGUGACAGAAGUCUUUUCAACAUGCGUAAAUUACAGUAGUCUUUCAUCAAGGCCCUGCUUAAUUUCAACAACAUCGUUGCUUCAUUCUCAAGCUAUGCCCUGGGUCAUGUGUUAUAUACUAAACCUUGUAAUUCUUUGACUAGGGGUAUCAAUAUUGUAUGGAUUCAGCGAAUUAAAGAAACUAUGACUAGAUAUAAUGCAUGUACUCGGCCUAUCUCCUAGUAAAAUAACACUAAAUCACGUUUUGAUGCUGCAAUAAAAAGCUUUGUGUGCAUGUUU